GUAAAUCAAUCUUGAAAAAAUAAUAGAGUUUCUAGAUGUGCUUACAUUAUCAAUUUACACAAAUGUAUGCCAUAUCUUUUCUUACAAAUUCAUAUUGGAGAAUAAAGUUGUCCCGGAAUCAACAAAAUGUUCGGAUUACUUUACAAAGACUAUCAAUUUUUGUUAAUAUGAAACCUUAUGAAUCGUAUUUCCUCAAAUAUGUACGUCUCCCAGCCGCGCCUUACCACCUCUCUUCCGUCCAUUUUAGAUGCUUCGUCAUUCGCCACACCGCCGCCGAGCCGCCGCCGUCAAUUUCUUUGAAAAUUUUCAUAGAUAGAUAGUGCACAAAAAGAGAACAGAUUCAUAAGAAAAGCAAUGUAUGCACCUGUCCUAUCUCCCAAGAAUCAAACUUCUGUGGUAAAUUAAAACUAACACAUACCAUGGCUAUCCAACAACACAUAUUAGUGACAAAUCUGAACCGGGUCCUCUUUCCUUAGGAUCUGAUAUACCUUCAGGCUGAUUAACUCUGCUAGGUGUUCUCUGAACUCUGAAAGUCUGAAUCAACUCAUGCACAACUUUUGACGAUGGAAAUGGAGUGGCGUCACAAGAUUGGAUCCUUAUCCUGCUAUAUAACUGUAGUAAAGUUAAAGCAAAUAAGCUAAGAAGUUGGAUAGCAAGAUGAAGGUGCACCACACCAUCCAAUUCUGAAUAAGUGGCUGAUGGUUUUCCUCAUUGAAUCCAUAAGGAGCAUGCUUUUCUAUCCUUGAACUAAGCUGAAACUCAAGAGAUCUAAAAUCUGAACGAAAGAACUUGAUUUCUUGGAAGGAGGGCGACUACACCAGAUCGAGUAGCCUCGCCCGUGCAUCACCAAAGCUGGGGCACAUGGAGCCGUGGCGUUUGCGACGCCCAGCAGCAGGGUCACAUCUCAUCCCCAUCAACUCAAAUCAAAACAGAAGGAGCAAACAAAACAGGUAUCAAAUCACACUCAUCGCCACUCUGGUAAUCACAGGCUAGCCAUGGCUUCAGAAGUUGUCGUCACUCUCUGCGUGCCUCACUGCAGAGCUGUGGGAGCUAGGCUUCCACCGCAGCUGGCGUGCGUGGAGGGCGAAGGCCAAGCCAAAAGGCAUGUGCGGUGCAACGGGUAGAAAAUUAAUAAAUAUAUGCUUGCAAACUUGAAAAAUAAUUUACCACCCAAACAACUUUGGAAGUAGAAAACAAUAUUGAAAGUACUCAAAGUAGGUGUACAUCAGCUCCAGAACCAGCUCUUCCAAAAUAUCAUCUUUUGUAAUUCCACAUCCCUGCCUGCCAUGUCAAUGUAAACUGCCAACUAUUCUGGGAAACUUCAUCCAAGUACAGCAUAAUGAGGCACGAAUAGGUGUAUGCUCUGAGUACUAUUCAAUGGUCAUGCGGCACAUCGGACAAUGAACACACUGUGUCAUCACAAGUCACGAGUAAUGUUGAAGUGUUAAUAUUAAGUGAUACAUGCAGUAAGAUAGGAAGGCCUUCAGUAAAAAAAACAUCUGAUUACUGCGAAAAAACUCUGGUGCCAAACAUUUAGUAUCGACUAAGCUACAUGUUUUCUAUAUUUGAACAUGGCAGAGAAACAAAAGAAAUAUGUGACCGGAUCAGGUUCUCGUCUCACCAUUGAGCGUGAUGCACAUAUCCUGAUAUGCACCCUAAAUCCUAACAAGUUUCAGAAAUAUCAAACUUACAAAACCAAAUAACUGAAUUUGCUGGCCCCGUACAUCAUUUUAAAGAUUAAAAGAAACUCAAAUCCAAGAUCAAUUGUUUUCAUAGUUGUUGUCCCCAGAUCAAAUACUGUUCCAAAUUUUCCAAGAGAUCCACCACGAAAAUUGUUUCUUAUUUUUAUUUCUUCCAUUGUAGCAAAGCAAGAUAAACAAUUAAAUAAAGACAUGCUUGUGUUUAAGGGUUGUAUACCAGGAAUAGCAACUCAGCGAGCAAGAUCAGAUGUUGCGGAUUUGAGGUUCGCCUCUCCACCCUAGGAAACCACACAAAAUUAUAGCAAAGAAUAAGCAAAUCAGUGUAAGAAAUAACACAGAAAGCAUAGAAUUUCUAUGCAACCAACAUCACUAUAAAAGUAAUUGUAAUGUUCAUUCAUUGUAUAAGUAUACAAAAAUUAUCUAUAUGAGAGCUAUUAAUUGUACUGUCCAUUCAUUUCUAUACAACCUCUUAUUAUAAUUUACAAUGAAAGUAUGAGAGCUAUUAAAAUUGACCAGUACAAAAAUUAGAAGACACUACCAAGUAUUGCCACAUUUUUAUCUCCUCAUCAUGUGGCCAUAACGAAAUUCAGCACAGGAGUGCCACAUCUUUUAUCUCCUCGGAUGGAUAUAACAAACUUCAACACAGUAUUGCCACAUUUUCCAUCUAAGUGCAGAGCACCAAUGACUCACAGCUUUAACAAGCACACUAUUCCUCCCAAGGACAGAGCAGAAGCUCCCCUGAACUUCCCCCAAACAGUGGAAUUCUUUGCAGCACCACUACCAUGCAAUGUCAGAGGAACUACUACUAUUUAAAACUAUAAUAAAAAGAUAUUACAAAGUUCAGUGUCUUAGAGUCAAACUACCUAACUGACCAAAUGUUAGGCACUACUAAUAAAGGCUGUAGGCUAAUUACAUGAACACCAGUGAGAAAUUGCACAAGAAUGAAUUAACAUAGUGGAAAUUCAGGUAGCCAACUCAAAUGAAAAAACAGAAGGACAUGGAUAAGCAAUGUCGUGACCCUUCUAGUCACUGAAUUGUUAAACUCCCAGAGCAUAUACUAAAGAACAUACAGAACUAAUAAGUACUCCCUCUGUAAAGAAAUGCAAAAUACUUGAUCAAGACUGUUGCAACUCCUGUACCAUUUUUUUAUGAACCUCUUCAAGCUGUUACAAUGUGAAGACUUACUAUAUAUAUUUUCAGAGCCAACCAAUUAUGUAUACCUUAAGCCAAUUAACUACAGAGAUGUAGAGUGGAACCAUAUAGCAUUGGUCUGAACCACUAAUGCAAACCUUCAGCCAAUUAAGUACAGAGAUUUAGAGUGGAACCAUGUAGCACUGAUAUGAAAACUUUGUCAUACAACAGCUGUUCUUCCUAGAUAAAAAUUUCGCUAGCUUUAUCACCUUUUAUUGCUACUUCCAAAAUAGUCAAUUAAAUAAUUACCUCUCUGCCAUCACCAUGAUAUUACUUUACCUUUUCUUAUAUUUUUAUGUCAUACAAUAGAUGUUCCUCCUAGAUACAAAUUUAGCUAGAUUUAUCACAUUUUAUCGCUACUUCUAAUUAUUGUUUUUCCUCAGGACCAUCUUGUAAUGAGGACAGGGGGGUGUUUUAGGCAUUGACUUGUUCAGAGCUUAUGUAGUAGUUGAUGACAGAUGCAAAUUGAUUACACCGUAGUAUGUACCUCAGGUCAGACGAAGUUCCGGCAGGCGGUGAAGUAUGUGCAGACGGAUUUCUGGCGAAGUCCACAGUGUACAGCGACGUCAGAAACUUGCGACACGACGAUGAGCCAAAUAACUGCAGAUUAUCGCAGAGUUAGAACACACAAGAUUAUUUAACCUUGCAAUUAGAAUACAAAGGGUUCAGUGAUGUAUUUUUUCCUUGAUGACAGAUGCAAAUCAUCUGGAUACGAAUUGGGUAGUAUUUAUUGUCAGGUUUAUAUACAUUGAUUGAUGGGACUGUAGCAAUAACGAAAACUUUCAGUAGCAAGCUAGAUCUCUGUUCUCUAUCUAAAUGUGCAUCAAUCAGUAGCAUCAUACAUCAUACAUCAGCAUCUAUGUAAAUGUGAAGCAAUCAACGCUUCUCUCUAUACCUUCUCUAUCUCUCUGCUCUCUCUCUCUCUUGUUCACCUGUCUCUUUUUUUAUCCACAAGAGCAAAUCAGUAGGCGUUGGACCCUAUCUCUCAUCUCUGUUCUCUCUCUCUUUCUAGCAGCAGCGGCCAGUAGCAGUUCCAUCAAUCCUUCUAUCUAAAUGUGCAGCAAUCAUCAUCUCUCUCUCCUCUCUCUCAUCCUCACCUGUCUCACCAACAACAGUGUCCAGCAUGCCCUCUGCUCUCUCCCUAGAGCAAGAACUCCUCGUCUGCAAGGGCGUAUGCCUUACCAGCUCCCAGCUCACCAGCCCCACCGCGGAAGCGACCUAUCCCCUACACAGCAUCGAGGGGAGGGGCGGAUUGAGAUCAAUCACAGAGAGAGAGAUGAGGGGGAGGAGAUCCCAUAGGGACGUGAGAAGUGCGACGGGAAACACUGAGGCGGGCUUCUGCUCCAAGUUCUGGGAGGAAGACGGAGGCGAGGGGGGCCAAGAAGGAAGGAGGAACGAACCUGGGGCCGCCGGAGACGAGCCGGCGAAGCCUUGCCCGGAACCCUAGCCACGGGGGUGGGGUUGCAA
rnacentral:lncRNA from 1 species